rnacentral:rRNA from 1 species
UGGGGAAUUUUGGACAAUGGGCGAAAGCCUGAUCCAGCAAUGCCGCGUGUGUGAAGAAGGCCUUCGGGUUGUAAAGCACUUUUGUCCGGAAAGAAAUGGCUCUGGUUAAUACCUGGGGUCGAUGACGGUACCGGAAGAAUAAGGACCGGCUAACUACGUGCCAGCAGCCGCGGUAAUACGUAGGGUCCAAGCGUUAAUCGGAAUUACUGGGCGUAAAGCGUGCGCAGGCGGUUGUGCAAGACCGAUGUGAAAUCCCCGAGCUUAACUUGGGAAUUGCAUUGGUGACUGCACGGCUAGAGUGUGUCAGAGGGGGGUAGAAUUCCACGUNUAGCAGUGAAAUGCGUAGAGAUGUGGAGGAAUACCGAUGGCGAAGGCAGCCCCCUGGGAUAACACUGACGCUCAUGCACGAAAGCGUGGGGAGCAAACAGGAUUAGAUACCCUGGUAGUCCACGCCCUAAAACGAUGUCAACUAGUUGUUGGGGAUUCAUUUCCUUAGUAACGUAGCUAACGCGUGAAGUUGACCGCCUGGGGAGUACGGUCGCAAG